CACGUAGGGUGCGAGCGUUGUCCGGAAUUAUUGGGCGUAAAGAGCUCGUAGGCGGUGUGUCGCGUCGGCCGUGAAAACCUGCAGCUUAACUGUGGGCUUGCGGUCGAUACGGGCAUCACUGGAGUUCGGCAGGGGAGACUGGAAUUCCUGGUGUAGCGGUGAAAUGCGCAGAUAUCAGGAGGAACACCGGUGGCGAAGGCGGGUCUCUGGGCCGAUACUGACGCUGAGGAGCGAAAGCGUGUGGAGCGAACAGG
rnacentral:rRNA from 1 species